GACGAACGCUGGCGGCGUGCCUAAUACAUGCAAGUAGAACGCUGAAGGAGGAGCUUGCUUCUCCGGAUGAGUUGCGAACGGGUGAGUAACGCGUAGGUAACCUGCCUGGUAGCGGGGGAUAACUAUCGGAAACGAUAGCUAAUACCGCAUAAGAGUAGAUGUUGCAUGACAUUUGCUUAAAAGGUGCAAUUGCAUCACUACCGGAUGGACCUGCGUUGUAUUAGCUAGUUGGUGGGGUAACGGCUCACCAAGGCGACGAUACAUAGCCGACCUGAGAGGGUGAUCGGCCACACUGGGACUGAAACACGGCCCAGACUCCUACGGGAGGCAGCAGUAGGGAAUCUUCGGCAAUGGACGGAAGUCUGACCGAGCAACGCCGCGUGAGUGAAGAAGGUUUUCGGAUCGUAAAGCUCUGUUGUAAGAGAAGAACGAGUGUGAGAGUGGAAAGUUCACACUGUGACGGUAUCUUACCAGAAAGGGACGGCUAACUACGUGCCAGCAGCCGCGGUAAUACGUAGGUCCCGAGCGUUGUCCGGAUUUAUUGGGCGUAAAGCGAGCGCAGGCGGUUAGAUAAGUCUGAAGUUAAAGGCUGUGGCUUAACCAUAGUACGCUUUGGAAACUGUUUAACUUGAGUGCAAGAGGGGAGAGUGGAAUUCCAUGUGUAGCGGUGAAAUGCGUAGAUAUAUGGAGGAACACCGGUGGCGAAAGCGGCUCUCUGGCUUGUAACUGACGCUGAGGCUCGAAAGCGUGGGGAGCAAACAGG
rnacentral:rRNA from 1 species